UACUGCCCUGCGAAGAGUCGCCGAUUGUGGCGGCCUGUUCAAAAUGAACUAGCAGGGCAGUUUUCA
rnacentral:ncRNA from 1 species